GCCCACCCUUUCCCGGGAUUUCGGGGAUGACACGGGGGCCAGGUGAGGGGGCUGCGCACUUCUGGAUCGGCCCCACACACUCGGCCCCUGGCGCGGCGCGCUCCCCGCACACGCGCCCGCCCCCUCCCCGCGGUCACACGCACGCGCCCUCGCCCUCGCCCCGCGCGCACAGGCGCGUACUCCCACCCGCGGCCGUGCACCCGCCGCGCUCCUUCCCGCGCGUGUCCUCUCUCCCCGAGCGGCCGCCAGGAUGUGCCCCCGGCCCCGUCGUCGCCGCGCCCGCGCCCCUCGCCCCAGUACGUCUUUUUUCGUUUCCUAAAUUUCUUAUUUUUGUCCUUGCAAGUGGUCCUGUCUGGUGUGAACCGUCAGCACAGAUGGCCUCCUGGAGCUUCCCCGAGUCGUUCGCUGGGGGAAGCGGGCGGUGAGCGGCCAGCCCGGGCGCUCCGCAGGCCGCGAGCUCCCGGCAGGGCUGGUGGCGGGGGUCCGCCUGGGGGAGGAAUCCCCGCCUGCUCCAUCGGACCCGGCCUGGCGCGGCUCGCGGCGCUCGGCGGGCUCCCUUCCAUUCUAGAAUCUUCCCGCUUGCUUCCCAGCCCGCGUUCUUCCGCCUGCCUUUAAUUGUGUAAGUUUGACGAAGUCAGAGCUUUGGGUUCCAGGAAAAGCGCAGGAGGGUCAUAGAGGAAGGGAGGGCGCAGGUUGGAGUCAGGUCCAAACAGUCCCUAUCGCCACUUUUGAAAAAAAAAAAAAACAACAAAAACCCUUAAGGUUGGUUUUAUUUUGCCUUUUGGUAGCGGGCGUAUUCAUUUAGAUUUUUUUUUCAAGACAGGCAAAUAAAAGGUGUUUGAAAUCUCUAGUUAUCCCGUUUAACACACCCAUCGAUGGCGCUUUUCUAGUUAAGCUACGGGGGAAACGUCUUUAUCCCGCAGUUAGGCUGCGAACUUGUGCAGAUGCUCAGGCUUUGUGGAGACGCUCCGGCAUCUGGCGCAGAGGCGCCCGGCGGGGAAAAGUUUGCAGCCCGGGCUUUGGGGCGCGCGGGGGGCAGGAAUUUUUCUGAGAAGAGAGGGGCAUAGAGAGGCGGCGCGGGUGGGGAGAGAAAAAAGGAACGCAGGGGGGAGGGGGAAAAGCAGCUUGCAGGAUGGGAGUUUCUUGCAGAAUUUACAGGAUUAAGGAGUUUGGGGAAGUCGCAGAGCUGCAGCGGAAAGGCAGGGGUCUGAGACUACUUUUGAGAAGAGAAACAACGCAAAACGAUCGCUGGAGGGCCAGAGCCCUGGUCGAAGGUGCCCUAGCUUUUAUGACCUGGUUAAUUGUGUCUCCUUUUUAUUUUUAUUUUUUUCCUUACCACUACUACUACUACUACUUUUAUUUUUUUUUAACCGAUACACUUUGGAGAGAAGAAGCAGACACAGGUUCCCACGGCGUCUGACGCCUGCGGAGCAAGUCCAGAGCCAGCUGGACUCGCAGCCUCUGGCCCGGCGGCACCAACUCCUCACUGGGUCAUUUUGAGCGCGCUGUGCCCACCUUUUCUGUUGCGUGUGGACGUGGGGAGGAUCUUCUAAGUCCCUCCAACGAAGGCAAGUGUGAGACUCUGGCCCUUUAUUUGUAAGAAGCAAGCCUUCAGAUUGCAGAAGUGUCGCGCGGGUCGCCGUGCGUUGCGCGAGUGGGAAGAUGGAGGAGGCCGGCACGCUGCUUUCGUGGACGCAAGUGAACCGGGCGUGAAGGCAGGGUGCGAGCUCUGCCCUUGGCCCAGCCCUGCGUGGGCGCCGUCCCAGAUUCCGGGCGGUGCGGGGUGCAGAGAUCUGGAGAGACUUGCGGGCUCCCCAGCGCAGGCUGCUCUGGGAUUUCGUUGGAAGAUCCGGCAGAGCCUUGGAGGAGAGGGCCCGGGAGGCUGUGUGUGCAGCGGAAACUUGUACGAAUGCCCCCACAGCGGAAAUGGUGCGCACGAGUAAUUUCUGCGGUGCACCCUUUUAAAAAUUGACAAGUGAACAAGAUCAAUUUUUUAAGAAAGCAAAGGUAGAAAACAAAAGGCGUGCGACUUCUUGACUGGCUUGUUCCCGCCUUUCUUCCUUCUCUAUACUCAGAUCAGAAACUUUUCUUUAAUUGCUCUUAUUCAGUGCGACAACUUUUAAUAAAAGCAUUUGCAUUUUAAGCCUGAGUUGCAACCAUAGAUUUAUUGCGAAGUGACAACGUGUCUAUGGAAUAUUUUCGCAGAUGAGACAGGACAUGCGCUCUAGUCGUGCCCAGAUUAAAG
rnacentral:lncRNA from 1 species